rnacentral:lncRNA from 1 species
UGCGUUAACCCUAGCUUCUGUUGUAGAAAUCUGCCUUAAACCUUAAUACUAGUAACAGUUUGAUGGGAGCGUUAACCCUAGCUUCUGUUGUAGAAAUCUGCCUUAAACCUUAAUACUAGUAACAGUUUGAUGGCUCCCAAAAAGGUUUCCCAUGCUAGAUCCGCCACUGUAGUAUUACGACUAUAAGUUUUUUUUGUUUUCACAGCAACUUAAAGAAAUAAGCACUGCGCAACACAGUAGAAUAGCCAUAAAACAAGCCUUAGUGCCAUGGUUUGGAGCAUUUUGCUGCUGGCGUGAGAAGAUGUUUCCAUUCUGUUGGUUCAGCAUUUUAGCUGGCGUUUAGCUAGAUGUGCAACCUAAGGACGUCUGGUUUAGCAAGUUUAAUGUCCAAGUUAUUAUUCUAUAGUUAGAAAUAAAGGUCUGUUGAUUAAAUUACAGUAGUUUAGCAAGUUUAAUCACACCUUAAUACUAGUAACAGUUUGAUGGCUCCCAAAAAGGUUUCCCAUGCUAGAUCCGCCACUGUAGUAUUACGACUAUAAGUUUUUUUUUGUUUU